rnacentral:rRNA from 1 species
UACAGAGGUCCCAAGCGUUGUUCGGAUUCAUUGGGCGUAAAGGGCUCGUAGGUGGCCAACUAAGUCAGACGUGAAAUCCCUCGGCUUAACCGGGGAACUGCAUCUGAUACUGGAUGGCUUGAGAUUGGGAGAGGGAUGCGGAAUUCCAGGUGUAGCGGUGAAAUGCGUAGAUAUCUGGAGGAACACCGGUGGCGAAGGCGGCAUCCUGGACCAACACUGACACUGAGGAGCGAAAGCCAGGGGAGCAAACGGG